rnacentral:tRNA from 1 species
AGGGGAAUAGCUCAAUUGGCAGAGCGUUGGUCUCCAAAACCAAAGGUUGUGGGUUCGAUUCCCUCUUCCCCUGCCA